rnacentral:rRNA from 1 species
UACGGGGGGGGUAAGCGUUGUUCGGAAUUACUGGGCGUAAAGGGCUCGUAGGCGGCCAACUAAGUCAUACGUGAAAUCCCUCAGCUUAACUGGGGAACUGCGUGUGAUACUGGAUGGCUUGGAUUUGGGAGAGGGAUGCGGAAUUCCAGGUGUAGCGGUGAAAUGCGUAGAUAUGACAUAGAACACCAAUUGCGAAGGCAGCUGGCUACGCAUAUAUUGACACUGAGGCACGAAAGCGUGGGGAUCAAACAGG